UACGAAGGGGGCUAGCGUUGCUCGGAAUCACUGGGCGUAAAGCGCACGUAGGCGGCUUCUUAAGUCAGGGGUGAAAUCCUGGAGCUCAACUCCAGAACUGCCCUUGAUACUGAGGAGCUCGAGUCCGGAAGAGGUGAGUGGAACUGCGAGUGUAGAGGUGAAAUUCGUAGAUAUUCGCAAGGACACCAGUGGCGAAGGCGGCUCACUGGUCCGGUACUGACGCUGAGGUGCGAAAGCGUGGGGAGCAAACAGG
rnacentral:rRNA from 1 species